rnacentral:rRNA from 1 species
AUUGAACGCUGGCGGCAUGCUUUACACAUGCAAGUCGAACGGUAACAGGCCGCAAGGUGCUGACGAGUGGCGAACGGGUGAGUAAUGCAUCGGAACGUGCCCAGUCGUGGGGGAUAACGCAGCGAAAGCUGUGCUAAUACCGCAUACGAACUAGGGACGAAAGCGGGGGACCGUAAGGCCUCGCGCGAUUGGACCGGCGGAUAUGAGAUUAGGUUGUUGGUGGGGUAAAGGCCUACCAAGCCGACGAUCUGUAGCUGGUCUGAGAGGACGACCAGCCACACUGGGGCUGAGACGCGGCCCAGACUCCUACGGGAGGCAGCAGUGGGGAAUUUUGGACAAUGGGCGCAAGCCUGAUCCAGCAAUGCCGCGUGCAGGAUGAAGGCCUUCGGGUUGUAAACUGCUUUUGUACGGAGCGAAAAGGCUCUCUCUAAUACAGGGGGCUCAUGACGGUACCGUAAGAAUAAGCACCGGCUAACUACGUGCCAGCCGCCGCGGUAACAC